rnacentral:rRNA from 1 species
CCCUUAGAUGUUCUGGGCCGCACGCGCGCUACACUGACUGGUGCAACAAGUGUCUGACCUUGGCUCGAGAGGCCUGGGCAACCUUUGAACGCCAGUCGUGCUGGGGAUAGAUUCUUGCAAUUAUUAAUCUUCAACGAGGAAUUCCUAGUAAACGCAAGUCAUCAGCUUGCAUUGAUUACGUCCCUGCCCUUUGUACACACCGCCCGUCGCACCUACCGAUUGAGUGAUCCGGUGAAUAAUUCGGACUGCAGCAGUGUUCAGUUCCUGAACGUUGCAGCGGAAAGUUUAGUGAACCUUAUCACUUAGAGGAAGGAGAAGUCGUAACA